CCUUGUGUGUCUGUAACAAGGCCAAACAUUCAAGGGUAUGUAAACUUUUGAUCAGGGCAAAUUUGUUGAUUUCUGUUAUCAUUAUGAUUUAAGAAGGAGCAAAAAACAACUGUGUGAUAGUCAUAUGAUCACUAACCCUUAAAGGGACUCUCCAGUGCCAGGAAAACAUAUCUGUUUUCCUGGCACUGCAGAACCCUGCAGUGCCCCUUUCCCUCCCAGCCCCAUCCCAUGUUGCUGAAAGGGUAAAACCCCUUCAGUGACUUAACUGAAUCCAGCGCUGAUGUCCCUCAGCGCUGGGUCAGGCUCCGCCCACGCUCCUCCCCCGCCAACGCCAGCUGGCGGGGGAGACCUAAUGCUGACCUAAUGUGUUCUAAUACGGAAGUUUCUCUAGUGGCUGUCUGAUAGACAGCCACUAGAGGAGGACUUAACCC